AUUUUCCGUGCCGAGAAAGCUAAAGCGAACUUUUCUUCCGCGUCAACAUCGAUUUUUCUCGUCUCUCCGUUAUGUUUACAACACCACGACCACUUGCUCAGUGCACUUGAUUAAUGUCUGUCAGUGCAUUGAGCCGACUUUCCAAUGACAUAGGUAACUUGUUUUAACAACCUGCACUGCCGCCAGGUUUUGGAUCCGCUGGGUUUUGCAUUUCAUCGGUCGGUACGUCUACUUCUAUCCCAGUCAUACCCCUCCCGAUGAUUACACCUUAUCAUGCCUAGAUAGUAAUUGACGCCUUUGGCGGUUGAUAUUACCUUUAUCACCAAGAUCUCUGAGGACCUCUCAUUCAAACAUUAUAUUCAUUGUCAUUUUUCAACGAAGUCAAACUAACGAAUAUUCGUUGCAGAUUGU
rnacentral:lncRNA from 1 species